UUGUCUGAAACGCCACAAGAUAAUUGACACCGUCAAGUCAUAAUAAUUCAGACUUUCUAAAUUUUUAGUGUACAUACAUACAUUGGACCUUUUUCAAAAUUUGAAUACGGUUGCCAAAAGCGUUGCGCGUAACUAUGGGACGUUUCUCGAGAAACGUGAAAUCAAUUUCUCAACAUUAACUAAUACCUCCCGUUUCAAAAAUGUUGAUUUUAAAAAUUCCAUCAUCAAAAGCAGAAAAGACGAGGAUUCCUGUAUCUUAUAAAAACUACAACAAUACUCCGGUUUUCCAUGUAAACGGUUACUUAGGAUGCAGUUUAAAUCUCUGUUCUAUAUAAUUGCAAUAAUGUAUGUUAUGUUGACGAAAAGCUUCAAUUUGAAAGUUUGCGCCAAAACAGCACAAAAUCAACGUCACCACACUGCCGCAUACGAUCAAGUUGCAGCCAAAAUUUGUUAUAUCAAGAUAACAAAAGAUUGGUGAAAUGUUGAAAUUCGUGAAAGAAUGAGAUAAGCCUCAAAGUCACAGAUUCUGGUUAAUGCAAUAAAACUGGUUCAUCAUUAGAAAAUAUCGAAUAAUUUGAAUAAACAUUUUUGAAGAUUA